rnacentral:rRNA from 1 species
UACGAAGGGGGCUAGCGUUGCUCGGAAUCACUGGGCGUAAAGGGUGCGUAGGCGGGUCUUUAAGUCAGGGGUGAAAUCCUGGAGCUCAACUCCAGAACUGCCUUUGAUACUGAGGAUCUUGAGUUCGGGAGAGGUGAGUGGAACUGCGAGUGUAGAGGUGAAAUUCGUAGAUAUUCGCAAGAACACCAGUGGCGAAGGCGGCUCACUGGCCCGAUACUG